rnacentral:rRNA from 1 species
CGCGGCCUAUCAGCUUGUUGGUGGGGUAGUGGCUUACCAAGGCUUUGACGGGUAGCCGGCCUGAGAGGGUGACCGGCCACAUUGGGACUGAGAUACGGCCCAGACUCCUACGGGAGGCAGCAGUGGGGAAUAUUGCACAAUGGGCGGAAGCCUGAUGCAGCAACGCCGCGUGCGGGAUGACGGCCUUCGGGUUGUAAACCGCUUUCGCCUGUGACGAAGCGUGAGUGACGGUAAUGGGUGAAGAAGCACCGGCUAACUACGUGCCAGCAGCCGCGGUGAUACGUAGGGUGCGAGCGUUGUCCGGAUUUAUUGGGCGUAAAGGGCUCGUAGGUGGUUGAUCGCGUCGGAAGUGUAAUCUUGGGGCUUAACCCUGAGCGUGCUUUCGAUACGGGUUGACUUGAGGAAGGUAGGGGAGACAUGGAAUUCCUGGUGGAGCGGUGGAAUGCGCAGAUAUCAGGAGGAACACCAGUGGCGAAGGCGGUUCUCUGGGCCUUUCCUGACGCUGAGGAGCGAAAGCGUGGGGAGCGAACAGGCUUAGAUACCCUGGUAGUCCACGCUGUAAACGGUGGGUACUAGGUGUGGGGUCCAUUCCACGGGUUCCGUGCCGUAGCUAACGCUUUAAGUGCCCCGCCUGGGGAGUACGG